GAAGGAUGGUUGAGUGAGAUAAAAUUGCUCUAGACCCGAGGUUAGCCUGCUAAGUUUAGCCUCUAGAAUGCGUGUAUUGAUUUUGUUUUAUAUGUAACCCUUCUGUUUCCAUUAUCAUUACUCACUAUCUCUUGAAUCUUGA